GACGUCAACAGAGUAAUGGCGGCGAAUUCAAACAAUCAAAAUAAUCCAAAGAAUAGAAAUCGAGAAAAUAAAGUUGGGAAUGGAUCGGAGACUCUAAGAGUAGAGAAUAGUGGUGAAGAGGAGGAAGAGGAUGAUAUGGAUAUAGGAUGGACACAAAUAGAAGGACGAUACGGGAAAAAAGCAUCUAGGAAAAGGAAAAAAGGACCUGAGCUGUAGAUGGAGGAGCUGAACACGCAGCAACAUCGAAUGCUCGGGUUUUGAAAAGUCAAGAGUAGGUGGCGGUAAUGCUCUGAUAAGAAUGCGAACCGCCAAUAAACACCAGGAAGAAGAAGAAGAAGACACAUAAUACAAACAUCAAU
rnacentral:lncRNA from 1 species